rnacentral:rRNA from 1 species
UACGUAGGUGGCGAGCGUUGUCCGGAUUUACUGGGCGUAAAGGGAGCGUAGGCGGACUUUUAAGUGAGAUGUGAAAUACUCGGGCUCAACUUGAGUGCUGCAUUUCAAACUGGAAGUCUAGAGUGCAGGAGAGGAGAAUGGAAUUCCUAGUGUAGCGGCGAAAUGCGUAGAGAUUAGGAAGAACACCAGUGGCGAAGGCGAUUCUCUGGACUGUGACUGACGCUGAGGCUCGAAAGCGUGGGGAGCAAACAGG